CACGUAGGGCGCAAGCGUUGUCCGGAAUUAUUGGGCGUAAAGAGCUCGUAGGCGGUCUGUUACGUCUGCUGUGAAAACCCGGGGCUUAACCCUGGGCUUGCAGUGGAUACGGGCAGACUAGAGGCAGGUAGGGGAGAAUGGAAUUCCCGGUGUAGCGGUGAAAUGCGCGGAUAUCGGGAGGAACACCGGUGGCGAAGGCGGUUCUCUGGGCCUGACCUGACGCUGAGGAGCGAAAGCGUGGGGAGCGAACAGG
rnacentral:rRNA from 1 species